rnacentral:rRNA from 1 species
UGGGGAAUUUUGGACAAUGGGGGAAACCCUGAUCCAGCCAUCCCGCGUGUGCGAUGAAGGCCUUCGGGUUGUAAAGCACUUUUGGCAGGAAAGAAACGUCAUGGGUUAAUACCCCGUGAAACUGACGGUACCUGCAGAAUAAGCACCGGCUAACUACGUGCCAGCAGCCGCGGUAAUACGUAGGGUGCAAGCGUUAAUCGGAAUUACUGGGCGUAAAGCGUGCGCAGGCGGUUCGGAAAGAAAGAUGUGAAAUCCCAGAGCUCAACUUUGGAACUGCAUUUUUAACUACCGGGCUAGAGUGUGUCAGAGGGAGGUGGAAUUCCGCGUGUAGCAGUGAAAUGCGUAGAUAUGCGGAGGAACACCGAUGGCGAAGGCAGCCUCCUGGGAUAACACUGACGCUCAUGCACGAAAGCGUGGGGAGCAAACAUG